UCCGGAGAGGGAGCCUGAGACAUGGCUACCACAUCCAAGGAAGGCAGCAGGCGCGUAAAUUGCCCGAAUCCUGACACAGGGAGGUAGUGACAAGAAAUAACAAUACAGGGCUCUUUCGAGUCUUGUAAUUGGAAUGAGUACAAUUUACAUCUCUUCACGAGGAUCAAUUGGAGGGCAAGUCUGGUGCCAGCAGCCGCGGUAAUUCCAGCUCCAAUAGCGUAUAUUAAAGUUGUUGCAGUUAAAACGCUCGUAGUCGGAUUUCGGGGCGGUUUUGCCGGUCUGCCGUUGGGUAUGCACUGGUGCGAGCGUCCUUCCUUCCGGAGACGGCGCCUGCUCUUAACUGAGUGGGUGUCGGAGACGGAUCGUUUACUUUGAAAAAAUCAGAGUGUUUCAAGCAGGCAGCUCGCUUUUGCAUGGAUUAGCAUGGGAUAAUGAAAUAGGACUUUGGUGCUAUUUUGUUGGUUUCGAACACCGAAGUAAUGAUUAACAGGGACAGUCAGGGGCACUCGUAUUCCGCCGAGAGAGGUGGAAUUCUCAGACCAGCGGAAGACGCACCACUGCGAAAGCAUUUGCCAGGGAUGUUUUCACUGAUCAAGAACGAAAGUUAGGGGAUCGAAGACGAUCAGAUACCGUCGUAGUCUUAACCAUAAACCAUGCCGACUAGGGAUUGGAGGAUGUUCCAAUGUGACUCCUUCAGCACCUUUCGGGAAACUAAGUCUUUGGGUUCCGGGGGGAGUAUGGUCGCAAGGCUGAAACUUAAAGGAAUUGACGGAAGGGCACCACCAGGAGUGGAGCCUGCGGCUUAAUUUGAC
rnacentral:rRNA from 1 species